rnacentral:rRNA from 1 species
CCUACGGUGGGCUGCAGUGGGGAAUAUUGGACAAUGGGCGAAAGCCUGAUCCAGCCAUGCCGCGUGUGUGAAGAAGGCCUUCGGGUUGUAAAGCACUUUCAGUGGGGAAGAAAGCCUUGGGGCUAAUACCCUCGAGGAAGGACAUCACCCACAGAAGAAGCACCGGCUAACUCCGUGCCAGCAGCCGCGGUAAUACGGAGGGUGCGAGCGUUAAUCGGAAUUACUGGGCGUAAAGCGCGCGUAGGCGGUCUGAUAAGCCGGUUGUGAAAGCCCCGGGCUCAACCUGGGAACGGCAUCCGGAACUGUCAGGCUAGAGUGCAGGAGAGGAAGGUAGAAUUCCCGGUGUAGCAGUGAAAUGCGUAGAGAUCGGGAGGAAUACCAGUGGCGAAGGCGGCCUUCUGGACUGACACUGACGCUGAGGUGCGAAAGCGUGGGUAGCAAACAGGAUUAGAUACCCCAGUAGUC